ACCUGGGUGGCUCAGUCAGUUAAAGCAUCUGACUUCAACUCAGCUCAGGUCAUGAUCUCAUGGUUCGUGAGUUCAAGCCUCACCUUAUGCU
rnacentral:tRNA from 1 species